AAUAAAGUUUUAGUUGAAAGAAGAGCAGGGCAAGUUUAUUUGCAUAGCAAAUUUCAUAUACAAGACAAUUCAAAGUGCUUUACAUAAAACGUUAAAAUCUUUACAGCAGGGGGCAGAAGA